UUCAAGUGAAAGAAACGAAAGUCAUUCUGCUCGUCUAUGCUCCGUUUCACGAUAAUAACUGUGGACGGUGGCCAUGGAAGUCGGAACCCGCUAAGGAGUGUGUAACAACUCACCUGCCGAAGCAACUAGCCCUGAAAAUGGAUGGCGCUCUAGUGUCGAGUCUAUCCCCGGCCGCUGCCGGCAGAUGCACGCAAACAAGGGGGGGCUAAGCUGCAGCG
rnacentral:rRNA from 1 species